rnacentral:miRNA from 1 species
ACAUUAGCCAAUCACAAUGCC